UGAAAAUCAUUUUUACCUCUAAGAGAAAAGAGUUCUGUUGUUUUCAAUAUGCAGUGAGUGUAAAGAUCUAGUUGGCAACAGGAAUAAUGAGUGAUAGUGCUAAGAAGCGACGUACCAGUAGGAGGAGGUCCAGCUUUGCUGCUGGUCGUGCCAAGCUUCAGCAGUCUGGAGCCUUUGGAGGAGAUUUAUAUAAAUCAAUAGACAUCGACAAGCCUGUGGAUGAGAGACUAGCAUUAUUAACCAAGGCAUGCCUGCAG